UUACACCUCUCAAGUUUAACUUGGUAUUGGGCAACGCGGUCCGCCGCGUGCCUCAAAUCGACCGGCUGGGUCUUCUGUCCCCUAAGCGUUGUGGAAACUAUUCGCUAAAGGGUGUUCGGGAGGCUACGCCGUAAAACAACCCCAUUUCUAA
rnacentral:misc_RNA from 1 species